AAACUAUCACUGAUACUGCUGGCAGUGUAUGAUAUAGCUCUCUUUGUGUUGUAUUUCUCAACAGGGUUAACUCGUAAUUACUAGGUAAACACAUCAGAGGCACAUCCAGCACAAAUGGACAAAACUACUGAGUUCAAGGAGAGCGCUGGUCUACAGCACCCUCAGAAAUGAUUGCUGUUUGAAGUAUAUAUCCACUGAGCUGUUCAGAGGAUCUGCAGAAAAUUGAAGUGGAGGUUCAAGAGUCAAAGAGCUCUGAUUACAGACAGUCCCCAAGAAGGAUGGCAUGAGAAGAAGUCUGUGUUUUUCUUAAAAACACCGGAAUUGUAAUUAGUUUCAUUUCCUUAGCUCAACAGCUAGCAUUUGAUCUCUGAUAAAACCUCUAGUUAUUAUUUACCAUGCUGGGUUAAAGCAAAUUGCUUGGAUUUAAUUCUAUAUAUACUCACUGUCUUCAUAUAAUUGAAUGAAAAGUCAGUAAGGGAAUAUUUAUAAUCUGUAAGUGAUACCUAAUUAACAACAAAAGCUCUUGUCAAGAUAAUCACCAGGGGGUUUUCAAACUGUUAGGAUACUCAUAAGAAAUAUAAAUAAACUAGAGAAAAUGGCAACAAACUAAAGCAACUGUGUUGUGCUUUGUCAAUAUUAUCUGGGCUCCAAAUGUAACCAUGUUUACUGUUGAGACAAAGAGGAGAGAACCCAAACCAAACAGAAACACGAUAAAAGGCAGGGUAUGUGACAGCAAGCCAUUGCUCUGUUUAGUCUAACAUCUUGACCCAACAGAAGAGAUAGUGGAAAUGCCUAUAUGAAUAAUUUAAGGUAUCUAUUUUUCAUGAGAGAGAUUUUCUCAAACUAAAUUUCUAUGAAACAUUGCCCUACAGAAGAUAGGACCAGUGAAUUUAGAGAUACAGCUGGGGAAGCCUGAGUGGAAACUCAAAGUUAUGAUGGGAGAUGAAGCUACAUACUGGAGGCAAGAUGUUCUGGUCUCCCUUGCUGAAUU